rnacentral:rRNA from 1 species
UCUCCGGAUUGGCUUUGGGGAGCCGGCGACGGCACCCUAUUGCUGAGAAGCUGAUCAAACUUGGUCAUUUAGAGGAAGUAAAAGUCGUAACAAGGUUUCCGUAGGUGAACCUGCGGAAGGAUCAUUAUUGAAUUAUUAGGCGAGGGUUGUCGCUGGCCUCUCGGGGCAUGUGCACGCCCGAGCCAUCCCCAACAAACACCGUGGGCCUUCGGGCCCGCGUAUAUUUACUCUGAAUGUGUAUAGAAUGUAAACCAUUUCGUUCGUCCUGAAAAAGCGAACGAAAAAAAAGUACAACUUUCAACAACGGAUCUCUUGGCUCUCGCAUCGAUGAAGAACGCAGCGAAAUGCGAUAAGUAAUGUGAAUUGCAGAUUUUCAGUGAAUCAUCGAAUCUUUGAACGCACCUUGCGCCCCUUGGUAUUCCGAGGGGCAUGCCUGUUUGAGUGUCAUUAAAUCCUCAACCGCGCCGAUUGAUUUUCGGUGGGGCUUGGACUUUGGAGCGUGCUGGCGAAGGUCGGCUCCUCUUUAAAUGCAUCAGCGGAAGAAACCUUUGUCUUUCCCGCCUUCGGUGUGAUAAUCGCGUUGCGCCGUGGUGGAACUUCAACGAUCCGCUUACAAUGGUCUUCGGACGAAACCUCAUGUCAUCUUGACCUCAAAUCAGGUAGGACUACCCGCUGAACUUAAGCAUAUCAAUAAGCGGAGGAAAAGAAACUAACAAGGAUUCCCCUAGUAACUGCGAGUGAAGCGGGAAAAGCUCAAAUUUAAAAUCUGGCGGUCCUCGCGGCCGUCCGAGUUGUAAUCUGGAGAAGCGUUUUCCGCGUCGGANCGUGUACAAGUCUUCUGGAAUGGAGCGUCGUA